GGCGCUGCCCCGGCGAGGGCCCGACUUGUGGUGCGGGCAGGAGCGGCCCGAGCGCGGCCCCGCUCUGCUCGUGUCCGCCUCCCGCCGGGCGCGGCAGGGCCCGAUGGCGGCCGGGCUGGGGCCGCGGCUGCUGGCCUUGGCCUUGGCCUUGGGGCCGGCCGGCGUGUGUGCCGAAUUGAGUCUGGUGGAGUCUGGUGGAGGUCUGCGAGCACCUGGAGAUUCCGUGCAUCUCUCCUGCCAGGGAUCCGGAUUCAGAUUUGCAGAUUAUUCUGUCUUGUGGUACCGUCAGGCACCCGGUGGAAGUCUCGAGGUGGUGUCCUACAUCGACUAUGAUGGUAGCACAAUACAGUACGGCAAAGCGGUGGAGGGCCGAGCCACAGCUUCCCGGGACAAUUCCCAGUCCAAGUCUUCUCUGUCCCUGCGUGCCCUGGUACCCCAGGACUCUGCCCACUACUUCUGUGCUGUUCGCACAGGGACAGGAAAUCCAGCUGAGCUCUAACACAAACCUACUCCCAGGGCCCCUUGCCUUCUCUAGGUGUGCCACUCCCACAGAGAGCAGGGAGGAGCAGCAGAACUGUAUGGAGCUGCUGAAGAGGGCAGAGAAUUGCCUUCAGCUCAGCCCUUUCCCACAUUGCCUGUAGGGGCCCAUGGGAUCAACAGCAGUGUCAGGGGCAAAUGGCCAGGUCAGCUGGAGUGCAGCAAGAAGAGAUGCACAGGCUUCCUCAUGAAAGGAAGUGCCGAGUGCUGCUCUUGGGUCCUAACAACCCGAUUCCGUGGGAUUUACGGUCAUAACAAUCCCAUUCAGGCUUGGGGAAUAGCGAAUAGAAAGUGUCCUGGCAGAAAAGGACCUGAGGGUUUUGUUUGACAGCCAGCUGAACAUGAGCCAGCAGUGUGCCCCUGUGGCCAAGAAGGCCAAUGGCAUCCUGAUCUGCAUCAGAAACAGUGUGGCCAUGAGGCCUAGGGAAGUGAUUGUCCUGCUUAAGCCCCAUUUUGAUGAUUUUGUGAAUCCUCCCUAUCACAUCGCGCCAUGCUCUUUGCUCAGCAGCUGCAUCAGUCACUUCCUCACAGGGCUUCUGGUUCCUCUCUCCUUCCCCCCCUUCCUUCUAGUUUAAAGCCCUCCUCAUGAGGUCUGCCAUCCCCUCAGCAGGAACGUCUUUGCCGCGCUGUGUGAGACUGGGGCAGUGCGAGGAGGCCAUGGG